rnacentral:rRNA from 1 species
UACGAAGGGGGGCUAGCGUUGCUCGGAAUCACUGGGCGUAAAGCGCACGUAGGCGGCUUUUUUAAGUCAGGGGUGAAAUCCUGGAGCUCAACUCCAGAACUGCCUUUUGAUACUGGGAAGCUUGAGUCCGGGAGAGGUGAGUGGAACUCCGAGUGUAGAGGUGAAAUUCGUAGAUAUUCGCAAGAACACCAGUGGCGAAGGCGGCUCACUGGCCCGAUACUGACGCUGAGGCACGAAAGCGUGGGGAGCAAACAGG